rnacentral:lncRNA from 1 species
GCGGCGCGUUCUUGGCGAUGCCCUCGGCUUUCACGGUGAAGGAGGUGGGUUCCAGGCAGAACUUCUUCAUCUCGUACUUGCCGGCCUUGAAGGGGAAGGCGUCGACCCCGCCGUCGAUGGUCGGGCACUGGUUGGCUGUCCCCGUCCCCUUGACCUCCAUGUACGUCUUGCUCUGGAUCUCGUCGAAGGUCAGCCGCUUCGGCGCCCCCUCCGCGCUCGCGCCCUGCUCGACAGAAUGCCCACCCUCCGUUAGUUUCUAGCGACCGGAGGCGUAGAAGAUGAAGUGAUGGAAACAUCCAUGGGCAGUUAGAUUUACCGAGACGAGGAGGGCGGAGGUGGCGAGGGCGAAGCCGGCGAGCUUGGCGGCGUCGGCGCACUUGGUGGCGACCUCGCGGAGGUCGGAGGUGAGGGAGCAGGAGAUGGUCCGGGCGGCGUGCGAGGAAGGGCGCGCGGAGGAAGGGAGCAGCACGGCGGAGGAGGAGGAGGCGGAGCGGCCCAUCUUGGCCGGCUGCAUCAGGGUGGCGGCGGCCUGGAGAGACGCUGCCAUGGCUGCUGCUUGGUAGGGGGGGAUCGGUGGAGCUCGUGGUUGAGAGGCGUGUUGUCAGGGCGGGUCAAGUGUUAUCUAUGCGCGGGCAAGGAUCGGGGGCGCGGAUAAGAGGCGGCUUCCCAUUGGUGGCUGCUGGAUAAGAAUAUCAUCCGUUUAUUUCCGUGGCCACCAGCCAGUCAUUUCUUCUCCUCUUUGCCCAUCCAGAGUCCGGACUAGCCACAGCCACAGGCUCCUGGGCAAAGCCAGGCCCAGGGCGCGCCCAGCGCGCGCACCGGCACGCCCCGUCGCCAUCUCCUCUUGCCCAUCCCGGCAUCAACAGAAUAAGUUAUUUCCACGGUUUCUCAAUCUCGCCGCCGAAUGUCAUGAACGUACGCGGGGAAGCGCAAUGUGUAGAGACCACCGCAGCCGCCAUGAACGGCACCCACCGCGAUCGACCACUGCUCGCGAACAAAUUAAAUCUCGUACCUUGUCAACCAACCAAACAUAAUGAUCCCGCACAUUGCUCGAUAAAACUCGAACAUGCUCCAUUAAACACUCGGACCACAAUAUUCCGCUGUCUUAAAGCCGCCGUCGCCGGAACAGUACGGCUGGCGAUCGAACUCGCCGCCGUCCGCUACACUACACGCAAAAACAGAGCAAACACGGAAGCGCUCUUCUCGAAAAAAAAAAAAAAGAAGAAGAAGAAGAAGAAAAGAACGGAAGCGCUCUGUUCUGAUUCUUGGCCGGGCCACAUCGUGGCUCUCGAGCCCUUCCAAAUGGCCUCACCUCCCGAUGAAGCCCGUAGUGUCAGACCUUUUUUUUUUUCCUUUUUUUUUUAAAUAGAUAUCUGUACCUAAUAAUAAAAGCAGCAGUGUUUUCGUGGCUGGGUUUCGUCCGUCGGACCGGUUUUGCGUUUUAGCCCUUCUUUUUUUCAAGAAUCAACGCGCACUCCGGACAAAACUGGGUUUCCUGCAAAAAACUGGGCUUUUCCGCAAUUUGCCCUCUCUCCUGCUACGGGCUCGAACUGCGCCGCCACCUCCGCGCGCGUCUGGCCUCCAUGGACCGCCGCGCACGCCGUCGCGGGGCUCCGUAACCGCUUCCAAGUACUCACGGCGGGCUUCCAGACCAUCUGCCGACCGCCGCGCCGACGCGGCCCGCGGCUACCUCGUCGUGGCUGGCAAGGCCCCCACCGAGGACCAGCUGGACCGACUCCUUGACGCCGGCAGCAGAACCACCGAGGACCAGCACAGUCUCCGUAGAACGAGGCGCAGCCCCUGCCGCAGAUGUGGACAGCAGCAGGCGACCAGUAGGCUUGCCCAUCGGCCGCAUCUCCAUACGCAUCUCCUUGCCGUCACAGCAUCUCAUAUUCCCAUCCCCUCUCCCAAAUCCUCCUGCCGUCGCCUGGACUCCCUUUGCCCACCACUGAAGUUUGACUAACUUCUCCCUCUCCCUUUCCCACCACCACCAACGACCAACCAGCUACCUGUCCUACCCCCUCGCGGCCACUGUUGUCGUCCCGCCGCCACUCGCCGUGGCGGCAACCUAGCCAGCCAACAGCAGAAUCGUUCGGCGUUCCGCGGGCGCGGCCGGUGCUCCCCCCGCCCUUACCCUUACUCAUCUGUUUCGAAUUGAGCAUUGGAAUUUUUCCUGUUCAUGAGAAUGUUCACAUGGCACUUUAAUGCCAGAAAUAUAGAGUUUAAAGUUGAUGUCUAAGAGGAUAAGAGGAAUGAUCUUGAUCUGAAUUUCAACCUUGGUACAACCUUCAGUCUGAAUACUCCCAUUGUUUCUUAAGCACUGUAAAUAAACUAACCUUGCUAUUGCUAUCCUAAUGCUGACAUGUGAUUUAUUUCCAUUUGCAGCUUUCGUGCUUAAAUCAAUUGUCACAUUGUUGGAGUUCAGAUAUAUGUCAUAGAAUAAGAGAUGUUCACUUUGGCUGUUCAAAAAUGAUGCCAUAUGUUUGUUAGAUUCAGAGUCAAACAAAUCAAGUUCAUGAGUCAUUUUGUAAUUCACCCUGAACUAUGUCUGAUGCAUUCAGUGCAAUUUUGCCCAACAUCUUAUUUACUCCUGAGCUGAAAUCACUAGACCUCAGGACAUGACGAAACAAGAUGCCAACAGGAUUAAUUCCUGCAACAAGCAAAGUUAUCCUAAUAGCAUCAACUAUUAUGGAAUUAAAUGAAAGUAAAAGGAAUUUGAAUAUACUCUUCUUUUUCUUGGUAGAUUUCUUUGCUGGAUGCAAGCUAACAAAAUUUAGCAAACCUUUAUUGUUUUUUCAGGCUUGCUCACUAAACCUCACAUUUCUUGCCACUUGCAUAUAUAGUAUGGUGCAACAAUGGUAAUCCUAUGCGGAUCUUUUGUUACAUUCAUGUGGGUUUAGGGAUUUGUCAGUAAAUUAGGAAUUACCAUAGAAAUAUUAUUAAAUCGUUUAUGUGAAGAAUUUUCUUGCGGAGGAGUUCAACUACCAUAUUAGAUGUAUAGCGUGCUUUGUGUACUUGUCUUUAGGUUGAUUUCAUUACAGGAUUAUGAUAUUUUGAAUGUACAGUCCAGUUUCCAGAUUUUAAUCAUGGCGAAUUGCAUGGCCUUUCAGAUGCUAACGUUAUGAUACCCGCUGCAUAGCUUUUACUCCAUAUUUUUGUAAGUUGACAUUUUUGUCCAAUCUCAGUAAAUAUGCUCGGAUACCACAACAAUGCACGAUAUCCUUUUAUCUUAGUAACCCUGUUAGUGUGUUUAGUUCGGCGAGAUUUGGAUAUUCCAAAGUCCUCUGGAAAACAUGCUCUUAAAAUUUUAUGGUAGCAUCUCUGAACAUGUUUGUGGAAGUUAUUUGUUAUUCCAGUCUGAAUUGGAUGAGCAAAGUAUUUGUUUUGGACUAGAGUGCAUAUGGGUUAUUUCAAUUGUAGUAUUUUUGUGUUUUGUUCAUGUGUUCAAGUGCUAGGUCAAUAUAAUACAGUUUGUGCAGCACACAAACCACACUUGACUGUACAUUUAGGAAGUAAUGGCACUUUGAUUAAUACACAUUGUUCCAUUCAUUUCGACUGAAUGUCAAAUUAUGACGUCUUUUUCGGUAAACGUAAAUUCUGUGUGCAUAUGUUUAAAAGACCGUGGCAACGCACGGGCACUGUACUAGUGGAGUAAUAAUGUUCAUUACAGUGCAGAAAAACAUCUAUCAGAGACACAACGAUAACAUAAUAAUUUAUUACAGUGCAGAAAAACAUAUACAUGCAAAGAUAAUAUAACUAGAUAGAUAAAAGCAGUCGGUAAACCAGGCGGCGCCUCCAAUCCAUCAUGGUGCGGUAACCCAUUUAUGCACCAUAACGGAGUUUUUUCUUCACCUUUCAUGGGGGCAUCUCCUUAGGGCAUCUCCAAGGGCGAGCUCCCAUUUGUCCUCCCCAUUUGUCCAUUUGAGGGGCCUUUGGACAAAUGGAGGUGAGAAAAAUAUCAAGUUGUCCAAUGGCAACCCCUCAUUUAUCUCUCCAUGAGUCUCUGAAAUGUGAUCCAAGAAGAUAAGUGGACAAUAUUUAGAUGAGUUUUGCACAAAUGGGGACUCCCCGUACUCUCCCCAAAUUUGGGGAAGAAAUGGGGAGUGUUGAUCGCUUUUGGAUAAAUGGGGGUUUCAUUGGGUUGUAUAUUUUGCUCAUGGACCCUCACAUGGACAGAUUUGGACAAAUGGGGAGUAUUUGGGGGUUUCCUUUGAAGAUAACCUUACAAACGAGAACAGCGAGUUAUGAUGUGGCACAUGAUGCUAUAAUAAGGAUCUGGAAUAUCUUUUUCUUCUGCGAUUAUUACUCCAUCCGUUGCUUGUGAUAAUGUGCCAUGCAUUACUGAGGUGGUAUUGACUAGAUAAAUUUUGGACUCGCGCAAGACAAUGGUGUCAGGCACAUUGGUAGGAAACAGCUUAGAGCUUACACAGAGUGACCUCCUAGUCCUACCAACGAAGAGUGCAUUGCCAUUUUACAAGGUCAAACCUCAAGCCCGAGCCCGGCCCGGCCCCGAAACCCCAAAAAUAUGUCAUUUAAGCAUUAAAAUAAUUAUUUUCGGAAUAAAUAAAUGUAUUUUUAUACUUAUUUUUCCUAAAAAAUACUCAACUUAAGCCAUUUCGGGCUUUCGGGCCCAGAAAAGUGAAGCCCAAGCCUGGCCCGGUACACCGGGCUUCGGGCCGGGCCACCCAUGCCCAGGUAUAAUUGCCAUCUAUGGAUGUCAGAGGGACGGUCCUUCUCAUCAUAAGAUCAGCUAGCCUGUAAACUGAAUAGCAAACUGCAUGACAUUUCGUGCCAGUCACCAAAAUCUAGCGGAUGUAGUCCCGGAAGUCGCCGGCUAGCACUCCCCAUCUGAUUAGGCUCACCAAAUCCUCGUGCAGAGACGCCCACGGGGAUGAAUCAUCGCCGGCAGUAACCUUCCACCGCCGGCGCAUACUAUUGCUGCAAGCAACCAAGGCCGCUGGGUGACCCCGAUAACUCCGUGAAGACAUGCCACUGGCAGAGGACCAGCGGCAGAUAUGCAAACUAGGGGUUCACAGCGGCGCCGUAACAGACGGGGGAGGAAACCCUAGGGCUAAGCCGCUGCCUUUUUUUGUUCCUUUCAAGCGCAAUUAGAAGAAUCUGUUCGUUGGCGGAAUUAGUAGUCCCGUACUUUUCCCUGUACAUUCAGAAAAAAAAAUCCUUAAGAAGAGACCUGAGUACCUGCAGUGCUCCCUCCGACAUAUAAUAAGUGCCGGUGAUUUAGUAUGUGAGAGGGAGUAUAUAACAUCCAUAGAAGCCUCGAACGAGCAUGAGAGGAAGAUGGGGGAGUGGCGCUCGGAGGCGCAGCUCCAGACGCUAGCUCCUCUCGCUCUCUGACAAGGAGGCCGAUUGAGCCGGCAAGCUCACCGGCAAACUAUGUCAUUUUAGUUUAAUUUUGGAACACUUUAUCAAUGAAAUUUGGCAAAAGUUCAAAUUUUUAAUGGGGUCGCCCCGCUGUGGUUACCAUGAUUUACAUGUUAUGUUCUUAGUCACACCUCCUGGCGAUGCAAACCAUGCUUUUUAGUUGUUACCAUGCUUGUUUCUUGCCCUUAUGGAAAAAUGUGAACCUGUAGGCUUUGCUGUGUGUAUGUGCUGCUAUGGCAUUGAAGCGGAGAGACGGCGGUUACUGCUCAGAGCUGUGUGGCUCAUUCGUAAUCCUGAGGCUUUACUCUUCGUGGGUUGCAAGAAGCUGCCGCCAGUGAUGAUCAUCCAGAGGACUGAGUCAAUUAUCGGUUAAAAUUGUUCAACCAGCCCAAAUGAAAGGUGAUGGCGGUCAUGCAUAGGUAAAUGAAUCUGCAAAGACAUUUUUCAGAUUAUCAAUCACUUUCCAGUGCGCAGUUUGGUUAUACUCUAUUGUGCAAAGAGGCAAAAUCAGUUCUUACUCAUGAAUCAUUCUUACACUGAAUGCAUUCUUAUAAUGCAGGGAAAGACCAAAUGGUACUAUACUAGCUUUGCUUGUGUUCUGUAGCAUGAAGGUUGAUUGCAAGGAAAAUGGGUCCAGCCAUCUACUAGGAAAACGAAGGUUCAAUCACCUGUGGUAAAUCCUUGCCAUCAAAUUUUCCUAUGAUGUGACGUUAAUGGUGUUACAAAUUGAUUCUGUCUAUAGCAAGGAUAAGGUGGCAUGUUUUCUUUGGAAACUGCUAUUGGAUAGGUGGGUACUGGGAAAGCUUGCUAGAUUUGAUCAAGCCAACUUCUUUAUUCUUGAAUUGCCAUCAUGUCCACUUGUAAGAAUUCCUAGGGAAAAUGCCAUAAAGGGGGUGGCUGGAGGGGGUUCAAAUUCCUUAGUAAAUAAGGAAAUUAAUAAGAAUAAAAAAAACUUGAAAUAUUCUCCCCAUAUAUAGGGAUCACCUUUUUAGCAGCCAUACCGUAGUUACCAUGAUUUGCAUAUUAUGUUCUCACACCUUCUGGCGAUGCAUACCAUGCUUGUUUCAUGCCCUUACGGAAAAUGUGAACUUGUAGGCUUUGCUGUGUGUGUGCUGCUAUGGCAUUUAAGAAGCGGAGAGACGGCGAUUACAUUUGCUCAGAGCUGUGUGGCUCAUUCGUAAUCCUGAGGCUGUACUCUUCGUGGGUUGCAAGAAGUUGCCGCCAAUGAUCCUCAAAAGGAUGGAGUCAAUUAUCAGUUAAAAUUGUUCAACCAGCCCAAAUGAAAGGUAGUCAUGCAUAGGUAAAUGAAUCUGCAAAGACAUUUUUCAGAUUAUGAAUCCACUUACCAGAGUGCAGUUUAAUCCUUAUUCAAUAACCAUUUUGUUAAUAUUAUACUCUAUUGUGCAAAGAGGCAAAAUCAGUUCUUACUCAAGAAUCAUUCUUAUAAUGCAGGAAAGACCAAUUGGUACUGGGCUUUGCUUUGUUUUGUAGCAUGAAGAUUGAUUGCAAGGAAAAUGGGUUCAGCCGUCUAAUAGGAAAACGAAUGUUCAAUCCUUUACCUGUGGUAAACCCUUGCCCAACAAAUAUGCCUAUGAUGUGACGUGAUCGGUGUUAAGAAUUGAUUCUGUCUAUAGCAAGACUGCAAGAAUUGCAAGAUGAGGUGGCAUGUUUUCUUUGGAAACUGCUAUUGGAUAUGUGGGUAGCUUGCUAGUUUUGAUCAAGCCAACUUCUUUAUUCUUGCUAGCCAACUUCUUUAGUCUUGCUAUUUUGAUCAGAAAAGGAAACUACCAUCAUAUCCACUUGCAACAAUUCCUUAAAGCAUAUCCGCUUGUGAGUUGUGUAUACAAAUGUUUUCAUCACAUAUUUAACUUUUUAAAGCAAACUUUUUUUUUGGCUAGCUAGUUUCUUCAGCUAGCUCUUGAAAAAAAACAUAUAACAAAUCCAUCAAUUGUCAGUUUCAGAUACCAUUGCAGAUGAAUAAUCUUGUUUAUCGACAGCAGGAACGUCCAGCAAUGGAAAAACUGAAUGGUGGACUCAACAGAAAAGCUGGAACGAUACAAACAUAUCAAGCAAGGCUACCAACAGCCACAAAAUGAUGCAGAUGCUAUACUAGAAAAGAACUCUGUCCACAUGCAUGGUCCCAGAGGGGGUUGAUGUUAUUCCAAAGCCCUUGUUUUGAAUUCUCAAGUGGUGCUUCAGAUGAUAUUUCUGAUGUGCUACAGCAGAACGAAAAAUGUAAGCCAACAAAGAGAUGACCUGUUUUGACAAGCUUAAGAAUUAAAUAUUAAGCACCUUGAGAUGUUUUGCUGGAUCACUUGAUGGCUGCCCAUGCAUGAUGCAGGUAUUGGUGUGUGUGCCCCAUCGUAGAUCACAAAACCCAACAAACAGGCCAUCUCCAAACACGCCAGGAGUAGUGAAGAGCUUGACUAUAUUUCAGAACUGGAUGGACAGAGCAGACAAACACAACUGAAAACUAUUAUGGCAGCAAUCCAAAUUGGUUUGAAAGCCUAAUAACAAAGGGAAAGUAUCGAUUACCGAUUCGCAUGCACUUAAUCUAGGAAAGUCCAGAUUUCUUUUCGUGCUCAAAAAGUACGUGCUGCAUGCCAAAGAUCGAACCCGGCGCACCGUGCCCACGUGUAACAAUGUUUUCAUUAGAAGAGAACGUGCAGUGGAGACAUGAUCUUCUUUACAUGGUUCAACUGAAUUUUGGAUCCAUCGUAUCAGAAAUUCAGAAUAGAUAUAUAGUUUCGAUGAUCUCUGUCAAAUCAUAUCUUAUAUAUAUACCUCUAUGAGUAGUAUGUAUUUAUUAAUUAUUUCGCAAAAAGUAUGUAUUUAUUAAUUGCAAUAUAUGCAAAAUACCCACGUGCUCAGCAAUUCAUCUUGUUUUAUGAUUUGAUACAAUACAUAUAUACGUGCAAAAUAUUCCAAAAAUAUCUUGCCAAGUUUUUGCAUAUAUAGAAGUACCUAAAUAUACGGAUUUGAUAAGUCGAUUGACAAGCCCAUAAAAUAGAAAGGUUUUACUGCAUCCACGUAUAAUACCAAAGAUACAAUCCCCCCGUGCCUGUAUAUAUUCACACAUCUCCGUCUCGCUUUCUCUCAAGUAAAAUCGUCUAUCUAGUUUAGUCGUAGGAGGUACAUACGCAAUGGUUGUUUUCACGGGGAAUUUGCUGACCUUUUUGCUAUGCAUUUCCCUCUUUGAAGGUUGGUCUCUGCUUCUAGUUUAUUUCUACGCGCGUGUAUAUAGCUCUAAUUUUCGAAAGGUUUCAAGUCUCAUCCUAUUGGCUAUUUUGUAAAAGAAUAUAAUUCUGAAGCUGUAUUUGCCAUGAUGUUUAUGUAUGCAGGUUGGAUGGUCCAGUCGGUUCCGUAUGAUCAUACGGCGAGCAUUGAGGCAAGUCUUUGUUUUCUUUUUCUGCCCGAUCGAUGGAUGUAAAAUUGGCUUGUUUACACAGAAGAAAUCACCUUUUUGCUGCUUACCAGUAGAAACACUUGGCCGAAAAGACAGAUUAGUCAUGCAGGAAUGUUAUCUGGGUUUCACAAUAGAUGGUGUUUUUGCGAGUAAUAUACUUCCUCCAUCCAAUAAAAAAUGUCUCAAGUUUGUCAAAAUUUGAAUGUAUUUAGAUAUGACUUAGGGUGUGUUUGGUUGGUGAGUAGACGAGAAUGGGUUGGUCUCAACCAGAUUUUAAGGACGGGGCAAACCAAAAUUUGUGUUUGGUUAAGAUGAAUGGAGCCAACCAAAUUUGAUGUUUGGUUCGAUAGGUCGUUGCCGAGCGCUGUCAUCUCCUUCAUCUCCGGCCACGUACGCCGCGUCAGACCUCGCCAUCUCCCUCAUCUCCGGCCACGGCCGCCGCCGCAGACCUCGUCGCAGGCCACGGGCGCCGCCGGAAACCAGGCCAUCUCCCUCGUCGCCGGCCGCCGUCUUCGCCAUCUCCCACGUCGCCGGCCACCGUCCUCGCCAUCUCCCUCGUCGCUGUCCCUGACCUCGCCAUCUCCCUCGUCGCUGUUCCUGACCUCGCCCUCUCUCUCGCCGGCUACAGCAGCAGCAGCUCCGCCGCCUACAACCUUGCCGGACUGCUACGCCGCUGCCCUAUCCGCCGCCUCUAACCUCGCCGGCCGCCUGCACGCCACGCCAGCCACCUGCCCCACCUCGCCGGCUGCCUCCGACCUCGCCCGCUGCCUGCCUUGCGCCCGCGAGAGGCCGCUCGCGUCCAAUGAGCCGCGUGAGUCGGCCGAUUUGGCCGGUUCACGCGGAACGGCAUAAUCGUGGAAUAUUUUCCUCUGGGCCAAACUGCUCACGAGCCAAACGUGAAGAAAAAGGCCUUUGGGCUGUGUGACACAGCGCGGGGCAGCUCGGACUCAUAAACCAAACUUAUAGACGCAUUUAAAUUUAGUCAAAGUUGAGAAAUACUUUGUUGGACGGAGGGAGUAUCACAUUCAAAGCAUUAAUUUCAAUGGUUGUGUACUUAAGCAAAUGUUUGAUCCUGAUCGUGCAUCUUCUUGUGCAGUGCUUGAAGAACCCGACGAGGCCUCUGUACAACGGCGGCAUCAUCCAGAACAGCGAGUUCAACAACGGCCUGGCCGGCUGGUCGGUGCCGUUCGGCGUCAACACGAGCGUCAUCAGCUCGCCGUCCGGCAACAAGUUCGCCGAGACGAGCAACAAAGCCCAGCCUUCCCGCAGCGUCUCCCAGAAGUUCCUCAUGGAAGCCAACCACCACUACUCCCUCUCAGGUAUACCAUAAGUAUCUGAAUUUCUCAACUUUUGAAAAAUUGUUUUGUGUGUCAAUCAAUGGCUGAUUGGCUCCAAUAUAUGUAUGUGUGCAGCAUGGUUGCAGGUUUCGUCCGGCACGGGCGCCAUAGUGAAGGCGACCUUCAAGGCCCCCAACGGCGCCUUUAUCGCCGGCGGCUCCAUCGUGGCCAAGUCCGGCUGCUGGAGCAUGCUCAAGGGCGGCAUGACCUCCUACACCUCCGGCCCUGCGGAGCUCUUCUUCGAGGCCGACGGCGCCGCCGUCGACAUCUAUGUCGACAGCGUCUCCCUGCAGCCCUUCUCCUUCCCCGAAUGGGACGCCCACGCCAGUAUCUCCACCUCAAAAACCCGCAAAAGCACCAUAAAAAUCCUCGCCCGGCAACGGUCCAGCGGCGAACCUCUCGCGAACGCCAAGCUGAGGAUCAACCUCCUCCGGCCGGGGUUCCCGCUGGGCAACGCCAUGACUCCCGAGAUCCUCAGCAACCCGGCCUACGAGCAGUGGUUCGCGUCCCGGUUCACGGUGGCCACCUUCGAGAACGAGAUGAAGUGGUAUGCCACGGAGCCCCGGCAGAACCUGGAGGACUACCGUGUCCCCGACGCCAUGCUUCGGCUGGCCGAGAGGCACGGGAUCAAGGUCCGCGGCCACAACGUGGUCUGGGACGACCCCAAGACGCAGAUGAACUGGGUGGAGUCGCUGAGCCCGGACCGGCUGAGGGCCGCCGUGGAGAAGCGGGUCCGGUCCGUCGUGUCCCGGUACGCCGGGAAGGUGAUCGCCUGGGACGUGGUCAACGAGAACCUCCAUGGGGACUUCUACGAGAGCAAGCUCGGCGCUGACGUAUCCGCCCAGCUGUACAGCCAGGUGGGCCAGAUUGACCGUCAGGCUCUGUUGUUUAUGAACGAGUAUAACACGUUGGAGGUGCCCAUGGACGCCAACGCGUUGGCAAGUAAGUACAUGGCGAAGAUGAACCAGAUCAGAUUCUACCCUGGGAACUUGGGGAUGAAGCUGGCUGUUGGGCUGGAGAGCCAUUUCGGCGCCCCGAACAUCCCCUUCAUGAGGGCCACGCUGGACAUGCUGGCGCAGCUAAUGGUGCCUAUCUGGCUUACGGAGGUUGACGUGGUGGCGGGGCCGAACCAGGCGGGUUACCUGGAGGCCGUGCUGAGGGAAGGCUAUGGCCACCCGGCCGUGCAGGGGAUGGUGAUGUGGGCGGCAUGGCACGCCAAGGGGUGCUACGUCAUGUGCCUCACCGACAACGGCUUCCGGAACCUCCCUGUCGGUGAUGUCGUCGACAAGCUCAUCGCCGAGUGGAGGACGCACCCGUUGGAGGUCACCACGGGUUGCAAUGGCGCGGCGGAGCUGGACCUCGUCCACGGCGAGUACAACUUCACGGUCACUCACCCGGACCUGGAGUCUCCCACCGUGCACACUUUGACGGUGGAUGCGGCGUCGUCUUCUUAUGCUUCAUUGUCAUCUGACCUCACUUUAGACAUCAAGGUGUAGGGACAUUCAUAUUACUUCGCAUUUGUACUGUAUGUCUUGAUCUAAUUGUUGACCCAUUAUAUGUAUCAUUGGAAAUAUGGGAGGAUAAUAUACAAACGGUUUUGGGACAUAUAUAUCUGUGAAAGUAUAUCAAUGUCAUCUCCUUAAUUAAUUCCAACUUGAAGAGUUUUUUUUUUUGGAAGGAACCCUGCUUUAUACGGUAGUAGUUUAUUGGAAGAUUGGAAAGAUCAGAACCGUCUGUGAUAUUAUAUUAUCAUGGAUCUUUUUUUAGAGGAUAUUAUGAUGGAUCUUGGUACUAAUCUGUGUAUGAGGUAAUUAAGAUCAAUUGUUAAUCAUAACAGUCCAUUCUAUAGAAAUUUGAGAUGUUUUUUUGUAUGGGCUUUCAGGUGAUUUACGAAGAGCAGCAAGCGCCUGGUGAGGGAAAUAUCAGCAGCACACAAAAGCUAUUAUCUCAGGAGAAAAAACUCUUCCUUUUUUGUAUUUUGAGUGCCAGUGCCUUUCUUGCCAGUAUUUCAGUAUGCUAGAUGUUGGUGUCAUGACUCAUGACCAGCUAGGUUCCAUCUUUUUUAUUCCACGAAUGCUGCACGGUUAUUGAGUUCCCAUGCAUUUGUAUUCCUGAAUACCCUCAGUUAUUUGAGGGUGCGGACGAAUUGUACAACUCAUUACCUCCAGUAAUAGUACCGACUUUUGACUAUAGAGCUUAUCAGUGAGCUGAGUAACACUUUCUGUUUGUUUGGUAUUUGAUAGCCCAUUUAACUAGUAUUCUUAAAUUUAAAUUCCAAAUUUGACUUGCACUUUUUGUCCAAAACUUUUUGAUUUUUUUCCGAAAUUCGGCAAUUUCGUUCAGGGGCGAAAAGUAUAGUAGAAACCGAAAUCCAAACCAUGGGCUCGCGGGUGACACCAUCUGCUGAUGAUCGAGCAGAGAUUGCUGCACUACGUCGGGCAUCAGUGUGGUGUUCGUGCUCGCGCUGCUCCUUCUGUUUUAGAACAGCUCGCGCUGCUCUUCCUCUGCCUCUCCUGUUGCCGCCGCCGCCGCAACGGACUGGACCUCUCUCUGCCCUGGCCCGACACUAAGCCCAUCAAGCAGCGAGCGCAGCAGCAGCCCACUCCACCCCCACCCGAGGCUCCGAGCUUGAUGUCCAUAUAUGUCUCCUCGAUCGGCCCACGGCCCAAUACGUGGACCUAGGUGGCCAUCAUUGCCUUAGCCCAUCCGAAUAUGGAGAUAUUCCUGUUUCCCGUGGAAUGUAAUGUACCCGCCGCUUCUUUUUCUUGGACACGGCCGUCCGUAUACGUUGGCGUUUGGUUCGUUGGGCGGUGAAGAAAGCACCGGACCGCCACCCAAAGGCAAACAUCCACGAGUAUCCUCUAAAAAAACAUCCACGAGUCUCACAAUAUCUGCACUCGAAAAUAUUGAUCUUUUGUUGAUCCAUACGUUCCGGUGAUCUUUCUUUUGUUGGCAUUCUCAGUUUCAAGUUACUCCGAUGCAAAACAAAAAAAGGAAAAAAACAUGCAUGUGUAUAUAUCACUUUGUAAAUGAUGUGACUCGACGACGGCUUUCCAAAGGAUUAUCCAUUAUUCGUUUCGGUUGGUGCAUGGCGAUCCUACACCUACAUUUUUAUGCUUGGAGUCGCUGGAUGACGCAAGAAUCAUUCCUUUGUACCGUGGCAAUAAUGCACCUGUGUGCCAAGAUAUCUCCAGGUAUAACUGCCAGAAUCAGCAUCAGAGGUGCGCGAAAAUGCACCGGUCGACUCGCCUUAGCCGGCGCCCGCGCCCGGACUACAUAUAUACACCCUGUAGAGAGACGCGAAAAAAAGUGCAUCCAGCGGUGCCGGAGAGCUACUUGAAGGUCAUCCAGGGUUCCUUAAUUUUGAUGGAAAGUGGCACGGCAGUUAGCCCGCCAUCUCCUCAAUCUCUUCCUCCAUCUAGUUACCUUGUAUAGGACUAGCUUGGAGAUCAAGCCUAGUGAUUGUAGUACUCCUACUUGCCUUGUAAUGCUCCUUGUAAUCUGGUGAUUGAUCACCUGUGAUAAUAUAUAUAGAGAGACAAUGCGGCCUCCAUUGGAGGUAGAACGCUGUAACCAAUUUCACAUGGUAUCCGAGCUCCGUCUCCUCAUAUUUCAUCUAAAAAAUGGCAUCGUCUACUUCUAUCUGUGAGAUCGAGAUAAGCAAUCAGAGGGGGGUGAAUGAUUGCGCGGAAGCAAAUUAAAACUUUUUCCGAAAGUUCAAACCCUAAAUCACCUUUCUAUCCAUGAUAGUAAAAGAGCCGUAACUUUUGAUUGGAUGAACAAAAAAAUACGUAUGAGUAUGCAAAAGAAAGGUAUUAAAAUUAUCUAACCAACGCAAUAAGAAUCAGCUCAAUUGGACUUACCAAUCAAAAGAUAUGAUCAAAUUAGUAACAGCUGACAGAAAGUUACGAGAAUUAAUCUAUAAUUGAUUUCGAGGAAUAACAAGAAAGAUGAAGUAAUCGCAAUCUUUCCUUGAUCUCGUGGUAAAUCUGCAGUAAAGUAUUAUGAACUCGUGAUAAACCUGCCGCAAAGUGUUAGAAAGAUCUAGCACGAAGAAUCCACGAAGAUCCGAGAAAAACAGAAAUGACACCGCCAACGAAUCUCUUUAUUGCAACGAUAUCGAUCGAUUACAAAAAAUGCAACCAUGCAUCCAAGAACUCUCCAAGAAUUGAUCUAGAUCUAAAGCUCUGAGUUCCGUUAUGUCCUUGCAAAAAUCGUAGCUAGGAUGACCUCUAUUUAUAAGGGAAAAUUCGCGACCCUAAACCGAGUCCUAAUCCAACACGAACUUCUCUGUCCCGGUCGUUAUUCUGCUCGUGGGGCCCACAUACGACCUCGGAUUGAGAUGACUCCAAAAGCAAAGUUGUUCGUAUCGACGACGCGCACAACGUUUUUGUGGACUACUUUUCCAUCGGACGCCAUCUUGAUGACGCUACUGUUUAAUCUUUAAACAGCUCUCAUCCAUCCACGGCUGGACAUACAUGUCUUCACGUCGAUGCCACUCCAUGUCAUCAACUCUUCUUGUGAUGUCUUCAAAACUCGACCAUCACGUGUCAAAUAUCUCCAAUACAGUACAUCUUCGGUAUAAACAACGUACGACAAAUCGGUGCCCUCCCGGAUCAUCGUAGUUCACUUUCAUUGUUUCCUUCACACGAACGUCCCGCAUGACAUUGAUCCCUCGACCUCAACUUCUCCCAAGCUUCGUCCCUCGAUCCCGUCAUCGACCAUGUUUCUGUUAGGUUCGUUGCAUAGGAAACAAAAAUUUUCCUACGAGAAGUGCGGAAGAAAACCCAAGAAUAUAUAUACUAGAUGUAUGUAACGAGAGGGAUCAUGAACACUAUACCCUCGUAGACCGCUAAGCGUUACGAUCACGAGAUCGUUGUUGGUGUAGUGGAACUUUCAAUGAGAUCAAUCUCAGUGCCGAACGGACAGCACCUCCUUGGUAUCCACACGUUCAGCUUCACGUUGUCUCCUCCUUCCUCGAUCCAGCAAGCGAGAGGGAGAGGUAGACGAGAUCCCGGCAGCACGACGGCGUGGUGACUAUGGUGAAUAUUCUCACGGGCAGGGCUACGCCGUGCGCGUGAGAAGAGGAGGAGAGGAGGGCUCAGGGGAGAGAGAUCCAACUGAAAGCUUGGGGUUGUCUCUCUCCCUUGCCCCCCCUUCUAUUUAUAUAGGGGUAGAGGAGGCGUGGCCGGCUAGGACUAUCCCGUGGCCAGGACUCUCCGGCGGCCAGGACUCUCAUGCGGCCAGGACUCUCCCGCGGCCAGGACUCUCCUCCUGGCCGCAUGGGCCCUGUGGGCUAGCCCCUCGGCCCAUUAAGGCCAGGGUGCUCCCUCACAGGCCCAUUUAGCCCAGGGAUAGGUGGGCCUCAAGGUGGAACCCUCCGGAUCCCUCCAGAACCUUCUAGAAGCUUCCCGGUCAAAACCGGGAAAUAUUCCAAACUUUCCAGAACCCUGAAAACAACUUUCCAUAUAUAAAUCUUUAUCUCCGGAACAUUCCGGAGCUCCUCGUUGCGUCUAGGAUCCCAUCCAAGACUCCGAAUCAUAAUUCGAUAUUAUCAUCAUUUAUCUCAUCUAACCCAAGCAACAUGAAACGUUAAGUGUGUGACCCUACGGGUUCGAGAACAUGUGGACAUGAUCAAAUAUCAAUAACCAAUAGCGGGACCUGGAUGUCCAUAAUAGUUCCCACAUAUUCCACGAAGAUCUCAUCGGUUGAACCACUAUGUCGAGGAUUCAAUUAAUCCAGUAUCCAAUUCUCUUUGUCUCGCGAUAUAUUACUUGCCCGAGAUUUGAUCGUCGGUAUCGCCAUACCUAGUUUAAUCUCGUUACCGGCAAGUUCUCUUUACUCGUUCCGUAAUAUAAUACCCUCGCAACUAAACACAUUAGUCGCAUGCUUACAAGCUCAUUAGGAUGUUAUAUUACCGAGAGGGCCCAGAGAUAUCUCUCCGUCACAAGGAGUGACAAAUCCCAGUCUUGAUCCAUACAACCCAACAAGCACCUUCUGGGAUACCUGAAAAACACCUUUAUGAUCACCCAGUUACGAGAUGACGGUUGAUGCCCACAAAGUAUUCUUCCGGUACUAGGGAGUGGCAUGAUCUCAUGGUCUAAAGAAAUAAUACUUGACAUAAUAAAACAUAAGCAACUUAAACUUAAGUGACACGAUCAAAAGCUAUGUUUAGGUUUGGGUCUGUCCAUCACAUCAUUCUCCUAAUGAUAUGAUCUCGUUAUUAAAUGACAACACAUGUCUAUGGUUAGGAAACCUUAACCAUCUUUAAUCAACGAGCUAAUCUAGUAGAGGCGUAUUAGGGACACGGUAUUUGUUUAUUUAUCCACACAUGUAUUUGAGUUUCCAAUCAAUACAAUUAUAGCAUGGGCAAUAAACAUUUAUCAAGAACAAUGAAAUAUGAUAAUAACAAAUUUAUUAUUGCCUCUAGGGCAUAUUUCCAAUAGUUUCUGGCAACACCUAAAAGCGAACACACAAAUAAACAGUACGAGUACAAGUUCACGACUUGACUCAGGAUAAGUUCCACACAACUCACGCCAUAUUUUUCACAUAAGAAACUAAUGGAUCAACACACCACUAGCAAAGUUCUAAGUCCAAACAAGAUACAAGUCAUCAUAUAAAUAUCCAUAUUAUCCAAAGUAUCCACAUCAAUGUUUCACCUAAAACACCUGCCAAUGUUACACAUCAUCUAUGAUUUCACACUAUCUCCGCGGGCCUUUUAGCGCCCAUGGUAGUUGUCUCGAGUUAGUUUCUCGGUGACAGGAACCAUGGGCGCCAAGAGGCCCGCGGAGAUAGAGGUAGACAAUGACAUUUUUUAUAUGAGAUCUGAGGAGACGGAGCUCUGAUACCAUGUAAAAUUCGCUGAAGUGUUUUACCUCCAAUGGAGGCCCCAUUGUCUCUAUAUAUGUUAUCACAGGUGAUCAAUCACCAGAUUACAAGGAGCAUUACAAGGCAAGUACAAUCACUAGGCUUGAUCUCCAAGCUAGUCCUAUAUGCAAGGUAGCUACAUGGAGGAAGAGAUUGAGGAGAUAGCGGGCUAAUUGCCCUGCCAUGUACGGAGUAUAUACUUUCCAACAAUCUCAUUUUGUGUUGUUUAAUCAAUUUAAUUAGCAUUCUCAUUAUAUAGUAUAUGGUGUCUCUGUCCAAGAAAGCCAUGGGACACGAUGCUUGGACAAUGAGAUCAGGAUAACUGGAUUGUUCCCCUGCCUCCUUGGAAUAUACUCACGGCAGCGCAUCUGGCAUAAUCCAAGGGUAGCACUAGUGUGCUCCGAUUGCUGCGUGAUCACUAGCUAGCCAGUUGCUUCAUUGCGGUCAUAAAGUAUCCGAAAGAAAAGCGAUCCUACAGCUUCCUUUUUGAUGAAAGCGGCGUCCGGCCGUCCGGGUUCUAGAAAUUGGUUCGGUAGUAUGUUAAUUUUUUUUUUGAAAAAGAGAAGAGGUACUCACUCCGUCCAGAACCGGAUAGAGUGGUAUGUAUUGUUGACCUCCCAAAUGAAGGUUCGUUUAAUUGGUUGGUGAGAUCCCCCCGUACGUUUUGCCGUACAUGCAUGCUUAAGUUCAGCUGAUCAAAAGUUGGUACUCCGUACCACACUUCGUUAAAAUUAUAAAUCCUUUACAUGCGUGACCCGAUUUGCAACGAACUUAUUUUUCUUUGCAUCAGCAGCGAACCAUACUAGUGUAGCACCACAAUUAUAAUUUGUUCCAGCAGAGAGAAAUUCUUCUUCUUCAUUUUUUAAUUGCAGAGAGGAACUCGUAUUUGGUGGAGCUUACAUUGAAGCUAACAGAGGUGUCGUUCUUUCUCAUGCAUUCAUUUUGUGGGAUGCGUCGACGGCGGCAAUGCAAAUUAUAGAUCGAGGUAGGAGCUACCGAAGACCUUUUUUGGCCCUCGGCGAGGUGCAUGCAAUUUAAUUAUAUCAUUCGCUCUGUAGUUUCGCAUUGUUUAGUUCAUAGUUAAUUAGUUUCAACCCAGCUUGUAGAAUAGUCCAACUAAAUAUGCAAGUCACCGAUCACUUAGUUGAUUUUCUCAGCUUAGUUUUGGAUCUGGCAAGUGCCCUAUAUAUAUUUCAACGGUCAUAGCUAAGCUUAGCUAGUACUGUGCGUACGGGUCUUCAGUGUUAACGUUUACGUUAAGUGAGUAAUUAAGUACGCUGCGUGAUAGUGUACUCAACGUACGUCUCGUGUAUGCAUCCAUGACCGAAGAGUAGCUCGUUAUUCAGCCCAGAACUCGGAGCCUAACAGGUCAAGCCGAAUUUAGAUUUGAACUCGUUAACGGAAAUGGAGUUGAGUAUCGAGUCACUUUCAGAACACAACGAUUCGGUCCCUGCAAUUCGAUUAGAAGAAAGAAUAUUAAUUGACCUCAUCUAUAAGGAAAACAGGGCGUAAAAACCAUACAAAAUACAGAUCCUCAUUAGACUCGUUUAACUCUGUCUAUAUUAACACUUUAGAACUUAAUGAACACUUUAAUGUAUUUUGGAUUACUAUAUUAAGUUGCAGUAUUGCAUAUAUACUAGUAACGUUAAACUACUUGCAAUGUUUGGUCUAAUCUUGUGAAGUUGGAAAUGUUAAGAGCGUGAAUUAUGGUUAAAUUGAGCGAUAUAUGUAUAGAUGUACCAUAUGUUGAGAUAGUCAAAUUUUAUAGACCAUGCAUAUGUUAUAUGCAUGCCCAAUCUUGUUAACGAGCUUAAUGCAUGAGUUUAGCGAGCUUAACUCGUGAGUUACAUGGGUCGAGCCGUGUUUAAUUUUGAACUCAUUUUAACAUGAAUGAGUUGAUUCGAAUGAGCUCGAUUAUCUUAACGAGUUGAAUCGAGUCGAGCCUAGCUGAGCAGAUUCAAGGAUAGAACAAUCGAGACGUUAUCCUCUUUUUACGGUUAAAAGUACUACAAGCAACUUGCCCAUACAUAUACAGCCUAGCCAUGUGCACGUACGACCUUAGCUUGUCGGUAAGCUGACCUUAGAGGAGCUUGAUGUUAGCAAGGGAAGUUGGAAAGUUAAUCAAGCGCAGCAAAUUAAUGAUAAGUCGAUAUUAGGCAUAUGUGCAUGCCUUGUCUAGGCACCUAGUAUAUUAGUAAAGGCCAUGAUUAACACACUGGUUUGGACUAAAAAUAACCGGCUUGCCAUCCCCGGCCUCUUGGUUUGGUUUCUGGCUCGUGAUCUCGCCCUUCCAACAUGCAUCGCCACUCUGUCCAUGGACAGAUCAGCCUAACGCGAGAUCCAGAUUUAGAGCACCGCAUAUGCAUGUGUUCUCGGACGCGGGAGUAUCUCGAGCCAAUUUUGAAUCAACUCUAAUCUAUAGAAAUACCCGAUCAAACCAAGUCCUAUGCCACGUCAGUAAUAUUUAUAUGGAUGGCGGUGUUGCGAAAACAAUUCUAAAUUACAACACAAUCUUAAUUAGGACUAGCAGAGUGUCCGUGCGUUGCUACGGAAUAAUUUUUCUCGUGCGGGAAAUCCGUUUCGUGUGGGGACUGAGAAGAACGGGAGCUUGCACUUGUGUCGUGUGGGAGAACGAGAGGAGGGGGCUUGCGCUGAGGAUGAACGAAGACGGACGACUUCAGGACCUGGGGUAUUAGGUGGCAUAUUGGACGUAAUUUCGGUGACGUGACGUACCGCGACACCAACUCCAAUUUAAUAUAUCUAUUACUAUCUAUUAAAUUGGAGUUGGUGGUGAUGAUAUGGUCGCGGUCGUCGCCGUAGGUUAACUUCGUUAAAAUUACAACCAAUAUGCCACUGAUCGUUAUUUUUUUUUCUCCAGUUAAAAUUACAAUCAAUAUGCCACUGCCCGUUAUUUUCUUUUCAUCCAAUUUUUUUUCACGAUUUUUCCUACUCCAUCUUACAACCGACGCCACCACACCCGCAUGCCGAUCUCGACAGCGCCAUGAGUUGCCUACACAGAAAAUAAAAAUAAAUAGUUUGUGAUUUUAUUAACCCGUAGCAACGCGCGGGCACACCUGCUAGAUUUUAACUUUUCAAUUGAUUCAGUUCAAAACACCGUUCCGGCGUUCCCCCUCUCGUAUUCUCCCCGUUACCCAAUUUUCUUUUCAUCCAGUUUUUUUCAUGAUUUUUCCUACUCCAUCUUACAACCGACGCCAUCACACCCGCAUGCCGACCUCGACAGCGCCAUGAGUUGCCUACACAGAAAAUAAAAAUAAAUAGUUUGUGAUUUUAUUGACCCGUAGCAACGCGCGGGCACACCUGCUAGAUUUUAACUUUUUAAUUGGUUCAGUUCAAAACACCGUUCCGGCGUUCUCCCUCCCGUAUUCUCCCCGUUACCCAAUUUCCCCAUACCCGUGGCUUACCUGAAACUCCAUGGCUCCCGCUGGCCGCUGGUUCCUCAUCAAGUGGCCUCCUCCUCCUCCUCCUCCUCCAGCGGACUCCGCCACCGCCACCUCCUUUCUCGCAGACCCGCCGCCGCCUCCUGUUGCGGCCCACGGCGCCGCCGCCUUCUGCAGUGGUCGCUGCCGCAGACUGCUGCUGUUCCCAUAGACGCCGUCGUCACCGAUGACUCCUCUUCUAGUAACGUUUGGUUUUGAGACGCAUUGGUAUUUUUUGGCAGGCUAGCUAGCAACGGCCUGCUCGUCGUAACGGGAGGGCACCGGAAGGAGGGCCGCAGGAGGGUGCGCCGUUGCAGUGGGAAGGGGUGGGAUGGAUAUGUCGCGAUGUAGAGAAGUCGCCGGCGUUGUGCCGCGGGGACCGGGAAGCUCGUCUGCGCCGCCGCGUGGGGAGGGAUCGAUGGGCAUGUCGCGUUGCAGUAAACUGAGAAAAGUCGCCGGCGCUGUGCCGCGGGGAGCUUGUCCGCGCCGCCGCGUUGGGAGGGAUGGGCAUGUUGCAUUGCAGGGAGCCAGUGACGUCGCCGGCGCGGUGCCACGGGGAGCUCGUCAGUGCGAUCGAGAGAGACGCUGCCGCGGGGGUGCCGCGGAUGGCUCGGAUGCGGGAGGUCUUCUUUUUGCAGGGCUUGACAACAGCUAAGCGAAAUGUUUUUUUCUCGUGCGGGAGUGGCAUGUCCCUCGUAAUUUUGAUGAAAAGACCUACCGCAACGUCCGUACCAUCACCACCAACUCCAAUUUAAUAUAUUGGUAUAGAUUUGUGUGGUUUUCUCCAUAUUUUUAGGUAGGGUGUGGCUAUCUAUCAAUCGAUUGAUUUUUAAGAAAGACAGCCAUAAGAUUUAGAUGGCAUCCCAUUUUCUCACCUCCCAUAUGCCGUCGUUUGAUUAAGAUCAAACGGUCAACAAGUCAAUUUAUUUCUAACUAAAAUCAGUCGACUUUUCUGUAGCAAUAACGUUUGUACUAUACUCCAUAUUUGCAUGGUGGGAAGGAAUAAGUCAAGAAGUUUAGGAAACAAGAGCAUAUACUUCCAUCCAGUGAUGGAUCUUUCUAAUAUCCAACUAACAUACCUGUCCUUUCAAAAAAAAAAAACUAACAUACGUAGAACCAAGGGCUCAAGUUUGGUAGAGGAAUAGAGCUUCAAUUUUGUAGAGUAUACUCACACAAAAAAAAACAGGUAAAUAUAUACUCUCUCCGUUCCAAAUUAACUGAUAUGGAUUUUGUGUAGAUUUUUAUAAAAAUCCAUGCCAUUUAAUUCGGGACGGAGAAAGUACUACCUUUGGUUUUCUUAGGAGUGCAUGGAAUUUUUCGUCAAGAUAAACUUUGAGCUAGUUUGCAAACUUUUCCCAGAAAUACUACUAUAUCCUUUUUUUUAGAUUACCCCAAAAAACGAGUUGCAUUUGCACGGGCUUUCCUUUCUUCAGCGUGCACGACACUGUUUCCCAAAUUUCCCAUUCCACGGCUAAAAGCCCUUGCGUAGCAACACCAAACAACCUCAGGGACCAUACUGCAAAAGAACAUAAUUUUUUUUCCCCAACUAGAAAUCAACAAAUUUAAUGACGUAGUGAACCGUGCAAGGAUUUGAUCUCCUUUUCCUGUGAGAUCACCACGUAUCUCAUUCCUCUCUCUCUGUUGUUUCCCCACCUCACAGGCCCGAGAGCGAGCGCACGCCAGGAAAUUGGCCAAGGGAGGGCGUUGGUGGAGUUUUGGGAGCAGUUCCUCCCAGCGUCCGGAGCAUAUUCCACGCCGGGAUCCCCUCCCGUCUUCCCCACAUAAACGCAGCCCCGCCCCCCCUUCCCCCGGGGAGAUAGAGGGACGAGGGACGUAGGACAGCAUGUGUUCUUGACGGGGAGUCCAAUCCAAAAGGUCAGUACAUCCAUCCAUGGUUUUCUUUUUUCCCCCGGUCGGGCGUGCACGAGAGAGUGGGUCGAAUCUAUGUUGCUGGAGGAGGCGUCGUUGGUUUUGCGGGGAGGGAUUUGGAUCCUCGCCGCUGGUUUGUUUGGUCGCAGAUCCGUUUCGUGGGGAGGAGUUUUUCUGCCCGGCGGUUGCUCGGUGCAAUGCUGGUCCGGUCCGGUUGUGUGAUCCGAUUUUGCGCGGCAGUUAUUUUGCAGAGGGCAAUGCGUUUGCUAAUUUUUGUUUGUGAAUGACUUUUUUUUUAAAUAGGAAUUCUAUUCAAGACUGGUGGAUUGUGAUGUUCACACGUUCUUUUCUUUUUUUUUUGCGAUUUGGUGCUAAUCCUGAAUGUUUCAGUGGGGAUUCCUGAGUAACUAUAUCUAUAUGAGAAUGGCCCUUACGUUUGAUGGCUUCCACUUUUGUUUUGGUGCAGUUUCAGAUUCAUCUGUGUGUGUGCAAAUGUUUAUACGAGUUGGUUUCUAUCCCUUAUUAUUUUGGUUUUAAUUUUUGCUUUACCCUCUCUUUCUCUCGGCAAUGUGAAAUAUGCGUUACUUCUGCCGUUCCUCAUUGAAUUGACUAUUGUUGGGACAGAAAACUGUCUCUUUCUGAGUGGAUCACAUUUCUGUUCAUUGCUGAUUUCGGUAGUUGAUCUAUUUUCUAGAGGGGAUCUUUUCUGGGUUCUUUGUUUUUUAAGAUGAUCUUUUGUGUGUUCUUUAGCCGAUCAUUAGAGCAUUACUUGGGACUUACUAUUAAAUUGUGUUGAACCAAUUCAGAAGUUGAAACGGUACUGUGUAAGGGCUUUUAGACAGAAUAUCGUGCUCAAUUGCUUGCAUGGUGUAUAUCACACUGUUGUAUCUGAAGAUUUGUUACUUGAAGCCUGAAUCAAUACAGAUGACUAUUUUCAAUAUGAACUAGUGUAUUUUGUAGUUUCAGUGUAGCCUCAGUUUGCGGUUUCUGUGGUGAUCUUUAAGAUAUGCAAAAAAACUUGUGGAGAGUCUGCUUCUUUGUUUGGUAAAUUUGAUUAUUAGAUAAAUUAUACUAUUCUUAUCCUCAUUUAUUUGAGAGCAAAAAUGCUGUUGGCCAAACACCCAAAUCUGCCAAAGCUAUUCAACCAAAUUUAAAUAUAUUCCAUAACAGUACUAGCGCACUUAAAAAUGUCCACCUAGUAGUGUACCUUUUAGAUUGUACAAUCGACACGCUAGAUUUUAAUUAGCAUGGGAUGGUUAUUUCCCCCUCAAAAGUAAGGACUGGAAUGCAAGAUGUGUCAGCCUGUCAGGGGGAAGUUCCAUUUCUCUAUUGAAGUUGGGUCCUGAACAUUUGUUUUCAAAGGUUGGUUAUACGCUGAGUUAUAUCAAUUCACAAGAUUCAUACUUCCGCCCAUAUCUUAAAGAGACAAUUUCAUCACUGGAAUGAUCUACUGUGGAACUCAUGAGCAUACAUUCUUUAGUUAAACAUUAGUUUCCACAUUACAUUGUUUUACUAAUUUGAGUUCAUUUUACAAAUGGUGCAGGUUGAUCUAUAUUCUAUGGAUGCUUCUUCAUCUAGCAUCCCAUUUUGAGAUGGAAAUAGAAUCGUAACUUCAUGGAAUUCUAAUAAAAUAAUUGGGCUCAGGAUGAAGAUCUAGUGCCAUGCUGUCCUAGGUUACCUGGUUAGUUUUUAGGAUAGCAAAACAGUCUCAGAUAGUGGGGAGGAUAUUCAUCCAACUUUCUGCCAAUUCUCCUUGCAGAGAGAGUACUGUAAUUACACAGACCUGUAUUUUGUUUAGGACCAAGAUAAGCUUAGUAGUCAUUAGUCAAACAGUACUGGAACAGUUGUUGCUGUCGUGAAAUACUUGUGUCAAGCAGUUCAACAGUCGACCAGCCUUUCUAGGUACUAUAGCAUUUAAAUUAAACAAAUGCCAUCGUAUGAUAAUUUUGUGAUGGUUACUGAUCUGCUUCUAUCUCGUAGAUAAUUGUGCUUUCCUAAAGUGCCAUGGAGACUUCUGUAUCUCCGCCAGGCUCGUCAAAGCAAGCUGCUGUUCGCAGACCUUGUCCUGGAAGCUCUUUUAAGGAUCUGUGUUUUGUUUCAAAACAAGGGUCAAUAACUGAAGUUGAAUCUGCUUUGGCCUUGUUGAAAAAGAGUGGUGGAAGUGUGGACGGUAGAAAUGCAUUUGGCCUUAGUGCGCUACACCUUGCAACAUGGAGAAAUCACCUUCCAAUCGUGAGGAGGCUCCUAGAUGCUGGUGCUGAUCCAGAUGCAAGGGUAUGCACCACCUUUAUGUAGCUGUUUCUUAUCAUCUCCUUUUUAUUGAGCACUUUUCUUUGCCUAAUUACAGCUAUCAAACUUCUGUCUUAAUGGGCACUCUACAUACAAUAUGCCUUGGUAGGAGAAAGCUUGUAGUCCAAAAUAAUAAUUCUACUCCCUCCGUCCAACAAAAGAUGUCUCAAGUUUGUCAAAAUUUGGAUGUAUCUAGACAUGAUUUACUGUAUAGAUGCAUUCAAAUUUAGUCAAAGUUGAGACAUCCUUUGUUGGACGGAGGGAGUAGAAAGGAUUUUCUUUGAAAGGCAUUGAGAAACAUAAUCUCAACACGUUGGUGUGAUGUGAAGAGUAACUACUAGAAUGUAUAUCUUCUUUUAAUAUUUGAUUCUAUUAUUAAGUACCAUACUGUUUUUUUUUGUAAACUGUCACUAAAACUCAACUUUGCAGGAUGGAGAAUCUGGCUGGAGCAGUCUCCACAGAGCACUUCACUUUGGCCACUUGUGUAUUGCUGGUGUUCUUCUGCAGUUUGGUGCAUCCCUCAAUUUGGAAGACACCAAGGGUCGCACACCUAUUGAUCUUCUCUCUGGUCCUGUAUCACAGGCCAAUGGGGAUUCUCAGGAUUCAGGUAGCAAAGGAGCUCUCUUCUAUUCCUGGAAACAGUUAAUUUGUCUUUAGUUUAAUUCGGUGCUUCUGUACUGUUUUAUGAUGUCCUUUUGGCAAUUUCUUUAGGGUAUGCUUUACAAAAUCUUCAUAUCUUUUUCCAUUUUAGUUGCAACGGAAGUCUUCAGUUGGGGAAGUGGAACAAACUAUCAGCUGGGAACUGGCAAUGCCCACAUACAAAAACUACCAUGCAAGGUAGAAGCAUUGCAUGGGUCAUACAUCAAAACUGUUGCUGCAUCAAAGUUCCAUAGUGUAGCAGUUAGUUCUGAUGGUGAAUUGUACACAUGGGGAUUUGGUCGAGGUGGUCGUCUUGGUCAUCCGGAUAUUCAGAGGUGAGCAAUCACACAUUAUUCUGGAUGAACUUUUUCUUAGGAAGGAUGAAAAUGGUUAUCCCCACAUGACUUUGAUGGUAACUUGUCUUGUAUGUAUAGAUUUAAAGCUACUAAAGAAGCCAAAAUUGCACACAUUUAUUUCAACAGUAGUUGACCACGGAGUUCUCAGACUUCUCCUGUGUUAAAAUUCCCACCCCCCUGCUGUUGGUGAAGUUUAUUUUGUGUUGCUACAACUACCAUUUUGUUGCAGUGGCCAGACGACGGCUGUGAUUACCCCUCGCCAAGUGACAGUAGGACUAGGCCGUAAACAAGUGAAUGUUGUGGCUGCAGCCAAACAUCAUACGGUGAUUGCUACAGAGGCUGGGGAAUUGUUUACCUGGGGAUCAAACAGAGGUAUGUGUGAAUAUGUGAUGCAUCUUGAAUGCGUUCCAGCAUCAAGGACUUUUUGUUUGAAUUAGAGCAACAAGAUUUGGGCACACAUGUGAUAUAGUCCUUGCUACUAUUAUAUUGCCCUUAUGGUCUAUAACAAAAUGCUCUGAAUGAUGCAGAGGGUCAGCUUGGUUACCCUUCUGUUGACACCCAAGCAACACCAAGGCGUGUUAGUUCGCUUAAACAAAGGAUAAUUUCUGUAGCUGCUGCAAACAAGCACUCAGCUGCGGUCGCUGACACUGGUGAAGUGUUCACCUGGGGUUGCAAUAAGGAGGGCCAGCUAGGCUAUGGCACUUCAAACUCAGCAUCCAAUUGCAUUCCAAGAAUGGUAGAGUAUUUGAAAGGAAAAGUAUUGAAAGGUGUAUCUGCAGCAAAAUAUCAUACACUAGUGUUAGGGGCUGAUAGUGAAGUAAGUUGAUACUGGUUGGAACUGUAUAUUUGUUACACAUUAUUCUGACACCAAGAAAGUUUAACAGACCUGGUCAUCUCAUCCUCUUUGGCAGGUGUUCACUUGGGGGCAUCGCCUUGUGACCCCUCGCCGUGUUGUAAUAGCUAGAUGUCUUAAAAAGGGUGGAAAUACAAGCGUGAAGUUCCAUCGUAUGCAGCGACUUCAUGUGAUCUCAGUGGCUGCUGGAGUGAUGCACAGUACUGCUCUAACAGCUGAUGGUGCUAUUUUCAGCUGGGUUUCGUCAGAUCCUGAUUUAAGAUGCCAACAGGUUUGGUUGUUAAUUGUUGUGGUACUAUCUAUACAGUGAAGCUGUGUGUUUCAUGUUUACAUUUAAACUAUUUCUGCACAGGUAUUCUCAAUGUGUGGGAGGAAUGUUGUAAGCAUCUCGGCGGGAAAGUACUGGACUGCACUAGCUACGUCAACUGGUGAUGUGUUUAUGUUGGACGCAAAGAAACCACGCAAGGAUGAGACUCGAAUGUUUACUCGAGUGAAUGGUGUUAAGCGAGCAUCGUCAGUUUGUGUUGGUGAAACCCAUAUGCUUGUUCUUUCUAGUAUUUAUCAUCCCGAGUAUCCUCCCAAAACUAAAACUCAAGGCAAAAAGCCAUCGUUAGAAUGGAGCAGUGCGAUGGAAGAGCUCGAUGAAGACAUUCUUUUUAAUGAUGUCCAGCCUGAAACUGACCUAUCUGGAAGCAGCAGUGAAAUGAGUAGAGGCAUACCCAGUCUGAAAAGCCUAUGUGAGAAAGUUGCAAUUCAGCAUAUAUUGGAACCAAAGAAUGCUAUACAACUUCUUGAAGUUGCCGAUUCCUUGGAAGCCAAGGAGCUCAAGAAGCACUGUGAGGUAAUGCAUUGGUGUGCUGCAGUUAACAUGUACUACAUUUUUGCCACAUACUGAUAUGUAUUCUGGCCAGUCAUCCUUUGUCCAUGCCUAAUUAAUUUUCAUUUAGUGACUUCUGGUACUCUGUUAUUCAAUGUGAUGCAGGAUACAGCUGUUCGCAACCUUGAUUACAUUUUCACUGUGGCAGCCCCUUCAAUUAUGAAUGCUUCUCCUGAAAUUCUUGCAAACUUAGAGAGAUUACUGGACGAAAAAUCCUCAGAGCCCUGGAGUCACCGCCGUCUUCCUACAAUGACGGCUACUUAUCCUGCUGUCGUUGAUAGUGAUGGAGAGGGAGAUGACGCAGGAGGGUUCUCUAGGCUCAGGGACAGUCAGAAGCCUGCAUCAAAAUCAUAUGGAACGUCAAGUUAUGGUACCUUCUUUCAGAAAGAAAGCAAUGCUGAACAAGCUGUCUCUAAGCAGAUUAGGGCACUUCGCAAGAAACUGCAGCAGAUUGAAAUGCUUGAGGCUAAACAACUGGAUGGUCAUCAGCUUGAUGAUCAACAGCUGGCAAAGCUUGAGUCUAGGGUCGCCCUUGAAAGUGAACUUGCAGAGCUUGGCUUUCCAUCAGACGCAUUUUCAAUACCUUUGCUUAAUCUUCCAGAAGGAAGGGCAAACAAAAAACCUGAGGGAUCUAAGAAACAGAGGAAGAACAGCAAGCAGGCAGCACAAUCUGAUAUCCCCCCUAUAAAACAUGAGGCCAAGGAGCAAAACCAUAUUAAGGAGCUUCCAGAUGUCUUACCAAUCCGUGGUUCUUCAGAAAAGGUUUGCUUGCUCCUAUCUCAUGAUUUCUAUGUCUUCAUCCGUAGGUUCUUUCAGAAUCAAAUAUUGUGUUAGGCAUUAUGUUAGUGGGUUUGGUUGAUCAAGAUGUUGUAUCUUUGCUUCUCUUGAUACCAACCUUAUGUUCUGUUGCCCUAUUAAGAUCUAGUGUAGUAGUAUAAGUAUUUGAUCCCGUUGUGUGUUGUUUCCAUGGCAGUCUAAGUAUUUGAUCCCGCUGAGUGGCCAUGCCAACGUUUGCCUGUUGUGUGUUGUUUCCAUGGCAGUCUAAGUAUUUGAUCCCGCAGAGUAUCUUGUUUCUUUAUAUAAUUUGAAGUAGGACCCUGUUUUUGUUGGUAUUUCGUUAUAGUUCUUAGCUUUAGUCAUGCUUAACAUGAUGUACAUCCAUCCGUGAUGUGACAAGUUACUCUUUUUAAAUUGUAGAUAUGUGCUUUUCUUUGCUUAUCCAUCAUUUGUCUAGUAUAUUAAAGAAAGCAAUAUUACUGAUAAAAUACUAUGCUCAUGCAGGAAGCAAGCGCUACUGGGCCAAUGAAAACAUCGGAGGAUGUCACUUUAAAUAGCACAAAAACCAUCUCUUGUACAUCAGGGAACAAAGCUUCCCGGCCAACUUCAUCAAAGAAGAAGAAUAAGAAAGGUGGCUUGUCAUUGUUUCUGAGUGGUGCUCUUGAUGACACCCCAAAACCAAGCCCGCCUAUCCCUGUUGUGCCUGUCAUACCAAAACAGGAAGGUCCUGCCUGGGGUGGUGCUAAGAUAACAAAAGGACCUGCUUCCCUUCGUGAUAUUCAAAGCGAGCAGAAGUCAAAAACAAACGAGCUGAUCACAACCAAGGGAAAAGACCGCCAUGGGGAUUCACCUGACAGUGCUGGGCGUAUGCGGCUUUCCUCAUUCAUGCCAGAUACGUGUUCAAGUCCUAUAUCUGUUACGUCUGCUCGUGCUGUUCCUGCUCAUGAUGGGGAUAAGAGCACACCACCUUGGUCUUCUUCAGCUACCUCCCCCAAUGUAUCACGGCCUUCACUCAGGGACAUACAGACGCAGCAGGUUGAUCUCUUGCUACCUAGCACUGAAACGAUAUUUUUAUUGUAUAUAGAGAUGCAAAAUUUGCAAUGUCGCUAUUAUUUUCUAUCACUUAUCUGAUCCCGAACCAAUAAUCUUUUGAGCAGGAGAAACGGCACCAUGGCAUCAUUUCCCAGAGUCCAAAAACCCGGACAUCAGGCUUCGCCAUACCAUCCCAGAGUGCAGCACCAGAGGUCUCUUGCGUGAAGGACAACAACGUUCCCAGCCGCUGGUUCAAACCAGAGAUCGAUGCUCCGUCCUCCAUCCGCUCGAUCCAGAUUGAGGAGCAAGCGAUGAAGGACUUCAAGCGCUUCUACACCAGCGUGAGGAUCAUGAAACCGCAGGUCUAGCGAUGAACCGCUGCCGCCUCAAACUCCGAAGAGCUACUGAUCUUGUUUAGGCUCACCCUACCCAAUGUACAUUCAAGUGUACAGUCAGUUCCUGUUAACUGUAGGCCCCUUCCAUCGAAUAAACUCUGAAAGCCUGUGCUGUUGUUUAUCGCAGAAAUGGACUCAUCUAGCUAUGAGACCACCCUGCUUUGUGUAACUUCUACUAAUGGUCAUAAACUGGUGCUGAUGUGCAAUCAGGCUGCCAGUUGGCACUUGCCGUUUCAUUUAUUUGAAGCCUUUUUACCUGGGUUACCAUGCUCCUCUGAUUGGUUAGUUGGUGCAAAAAUCUUUAGAUCUUUAUAUAAUAUCUUCAUUCGUAUGUAUAAUUAGCACCUGAUUUUACAAAAAUUAGGAUCAAAUAAAAUCUUGAAGAAGUGUAUUUGUUGGAGUAAAAUAAAAAUAACAAAGUGAACUUCUGAAAUUCCAGUUGGUGGUACGUGUCUCCUUCCAAUCGAUGAUCGUGUCACCUCACCUAUAAAAGUUGAGACUUGCCAGCAAUUUUUCUUAAUUUUGUUAUAAUCUCUACAGCCUUGUCAUUCCUCACAAUAACAAGGUCAACAUUUGCUGCCACGAUCUACUACGGUUCAUUAUCCUAACCUUGAUCAAACACUGCAUAUUAGUAGGUGUGGACAUAUUAACCGAGAACCGAAAGAACUACUAGUACCGAAUACAAUUGGAUUGUCUGAAUUUGGAUCGAGUAAUUCGGUCCUAGUCAGAAGCACUCCAUCCCGUCCGUCCCGCCUUCUCCCCUGAUUAGCUCCCUUUAUUAUUAUUUUUGAAAAUCUAUGUUGUCAGUCUACAUCGGUUCUGUUCGGCUAAAAAUGCAAGUCCACCAAAAAUUUUGGUCAAUAAAUUUUCAGAGAACCAAUCGGUCAUCAUUUUGCCAAUAAUCAAUUUCCCAUUAAGGGUCUGUCUAUUUACCAGACGCUUGGUUUUUGAUCCAAAACAGUUGCCUGUUUUCUGUGCUGAAACUAGGCGCCUGAAAUUUUGAGAAAAACCAGUCACUUUUGCACCCAAAGUUUCUGUCCUGGGCCUGUUCUUUUUGUUCCAAAACUUUGUGUGCUUCGACUACUGGUCCUUUUUUGAGAGAGAGAGAAGGCUGGCUCAUUUAUUCAAAUAGAGAAGCAUUCACUGUUUACAACAUCCUGGAUGCAACCAGGGACGCAGUGCCAAAAGACAGAAUAAGCAGCGAAGUCACUCGAGUCAGCCAACAUAUGAGCCACCUCAUUAGCACAACGGCUUACAUGAACAAAAGAAACAGAAAAUACACAUAGCACUAGAAAUUUAAUGUCAGCAACAAUAGGACCAAUGGAAGAACAAUCUCUACCCGGAGCAUUUACCUUCCAAACUAGGAACAGAUAAUCUGCACCAGAAUAUUGUGGAAAUUCUCUUCUCGAGCUAGAACCGUAGCACAUCGAAGAGCCUGUGCUUCAGCUAAUUCUGCUGAGGUAGAAUCUUGAAAAGACUGACGGCAUGGCAUGAGUCUGUGUCCCAGAUGUUCUCGUACCAUUACACCAAUGUCCGAACUCGAGUUGGCGGAGAAGACUACAACAUCAACAUUAAAGAAAACCUUACCAGCCAGCUGUGGAGUCCACAUCUGAACAACUCUUGGAACUGCACACCUUGGUGACUGACAAGGCUUCAAAACAUGCUCUUGAAUCAUCUCCUCAUAAGACUGAUUUUUUCACACUGUAGCUGUACGGCAAGUUAGAGAAAUAGAAUUCUUGUCCUCCUUACGAGCCUCCCAAAUAUGCCAACAUGUAACAGCCACAAGAACAGAUUGAAAAGGGUAGCGAUCAUAAAAAUCUUAAAGAAAACAAUCCCAUAUAGCAGAUCGAUAGCAGAAUUCAAAUUUUGUACAAGUACAAUUGGAACAAGGACAUUAGUACAUGCAAUUGCAAAAUUAAGCAUAGUGCAAUUGAAACAGAAACCUUAUGCAAUUGCAAUAAUGAUAUUUUCCAUCCACAAUAAAACAGCUAGAUCAAAGUUUCAUAUCUUAUUUUCAUAAGUUUCAGAUUCUAAAGAAUAAAAUUUGAAUAUCAGAACACAUAAACUUUGUGACAUUCAACUUUCUAACUCUACUUAAGGACCUACCGACAAAACAAAAGUAGAGAAAAAUAACUUAAGCUAAAUCAUUUGCAAUUCCACUCUGCAAAACUUCUAAUUACUGAAGUAUGAACAAUGCAGCUGAAAUUUAAAUGCAGUGCAAUUCCAUCCACAUUGCUUUUGCCUUUCACUUAUGAAUACAAAAGGUGAGAUUCGCAGAAAACAUCUUUUUUCUGAAAAGAAGGGAAGGCCCUGGGCCUCUGUCUGCAGAAAACAUCUGAUAAUGAGAAAAAUGAUAAGAAAGGUGCAAGGGAUCAGAUUUUGCUUUCAACAAGAUUGUUAAUUACAACAGUAGAUGUAAUGCAAUAUAUUUUAGAAAGGGGUGCAAUUUAAUUUAAGUGGCAGUGCAAUUGCAAUUUGACGAAUGAACAAUUGCAGUUCAAUAGAAGACAUCAACUUAAUUUGGAAAAAAACAUAGCAACUUGAACAGAGAACGUAAUGAAUAAAGGGACAAACGUUGAUGUUCUCUUGGUUAUUGAGGCCAUCUAAAUCGACAACUUGCAGCGGGCCUUCAGAUUGGCCAUGAGAUCCUUUUCCCUGCAAAAGCAAAACAAAAUGCUCAAUAGGAUGAAUUCAUAUGCAACUUAUGACAUAAAAGAAGAUGGAAAAAAGAGAGUAUUCCUAGAGGUAGAGAAAUUUAUUUAAAUAUGGAUGCAAUUUAAUUUAGAAGUUGGUGCAAUUUAAUUUAAGUGCAGUGCAAUUGCAAUUUGGUGACUAAACAAUUGCAGUGCAAUCCCAAUAAAAAUCGCUGCAAUUGCACUUGUAUGGACUGCAAUUUGCGUAAGCUACAUCCUACAGGUGCAAUAAAAAUAUAAAUUGGAUGCAAUCCCAAUUAAAUUAGCAAAAACUGCAAUUUGCUUAAGCUACGGGUAAAUCACUGGACAAACUUGUUUUGUGCAAAUCGAACAAUUACAGGGUUUAAUAACGAAAAUGAUGGCCAAAAGGUUUAGCAAAAUGUUGGGCAAAAAGUGCUAAAUGUGGGGAGUUGCAGCUUGACAGAAGUAUCAACAUGAUUGCAUUGGUUAUAUGGUGCAAGUGCCAUUAAUAUAUCUAGCAAGUGCAAUAUACUCCUACAAAAAAGCUUUGUAAAUGCAAGUUGAUGAGUGAAAGAAAAAUCUGAGACCAUAUAAGAUCUAUAUACAAACAGUUAAGAUUGUGAGCCUUUAGAAAUGUUUAUAGGUUUGAAACUUUACUUCUACAAAAUGCAGGGAUUAUCCACGGUAUGGUUUAUUGAAGUACUCACUUCCACAUAUAAUCAAUUUAAUGCUCGGCAGGGAUAUGAGGAAAAAUGAGAUGAACAACCCAGUGUACACAAAUUUACCGAGGCAUACGAUGAAACAAUAGAGAGAAAUAACCACUGAAAUGAUUUUGAAACAUAACAACCAGCAGCCAUGUGUUUCCUUUUAGACAGAAAGCAAGAUUUCAACUAUUAAGAAACAAGAAAUUAAUAAGAAAAAAAGAGAAAAAAAUCAUAAUUAAGAAUUUUUCAGAUACAUGUAUCAAUGUAAAUACCAGAUCGCUAAUAUUGUCAAUGAUCAAGUCGGUCUCUGAAUAAUCUUCGGAUGAAUAACCAUCCUGCACUCAACAAAGUGAGAGAUGGACAAAAGGUAUACAAUAAACUUAUUUCAUACACUCACAAAAUCACAGGCCGCGGGUCCGCCCGCAUUAGCAGCAGCCUGUUCACCCUCAUCCCCAAAAGGACAGUAAUCAGAGUCUGAAUGCACACUACAAUCAUUCCGGUCAGAUCGAACAUCGCUGCCCCCUAUAAACUCCUGAGCAUUGAAUACACAACCUUGAGAAAAAGAUCAAUGAUAAAGACUUAGAAACAACAAGCAGGCACGAAACCAAAACGUUAAUCGCAAAAUCCCUGAAAAAAAUGGAUACACACCUCAUGACCGAAAUAGCUACAUGCAACUUCAAUAGAAAACAUGAAUCCUAUGCCAAAAUGAUAGUGAUCUAACUGUGAUUUAAACUAGCAAACCACCAUAUAAGCAGAAAAUAAAAAAUAAAAGGAGUUGACUAGCAAACCAGACUAUUACCACAUAGAUGCAGAGCACAUUGACUUCAGAAAUGCAAAUAAAAAAUCAAAAUCAAGUGGGGGGACACCCACUUACAGUUUAGUCAAAAACGAUUAAAUGAAAAUGGUUGAUUCACCUAGAUUAGAUAAAAUCAAAUGCACAUAAACAAGCAAAAAUGAAUCGAGUACAGUACAGUUAGACUUAGUACUUAGUCCUCGCUGUACAUAAUUUCAGGGGUAAUUUCAUUAUCUAAACACAUUACACAUGCAGAAACGAGGCCAAACAUAUGGAACAACAUCCCCAGGUUCUAAUAGCAGAGCUCAAAAUCGGCCAAAACAACCCAAAACUAAACCAGAUGAAACAACAUACGCAUCGAAGCCUCGAGUGCUCGGCUGCGGGGGAGCAGGAGGGGCAGAGAAGCCUCGAGUGCUCGGCGGCAGGGUAGCAGCAAGGGCGUCGACGGCGGAGGCCGGAGAGGCGUACAGGAGGAGCAGGAGGGG